AAUGAGAUGCCUGAAAAAAAGGAUUAUUUUGAUAGAAUAAAUUAUGUGGCCCCCCGCUCUCAUUA
rnacentral:tRNA from 1 species